rnacentral:misc_RNA from 1 species
UCCGGUUUGUCACCGGCAGUCACCUUCGAGUUCCCACCAAAUGUGCUGGCAACGAAGAUCAAGGGUUGCGCUCGUUGCGGGACUUAACCCAACAUCUCACGACACGAGCUGACGACAACCAUGCACCACCUGUCUCCCCUGGCCCGAAGGCACCCGCCAUCUCUGGCGGUGUCAGGGGGAUGUCAAGACCUGGUAAGGUUCUUCGCGUUGCUUCGAAUUAAACCACAUGCUCCACUGCUUGUGCGGGUCCCCGUCAAUUCCUUUGAGUUUCAGUCUUGCGACCGUACUCCCCAGGCGGAAUGCUUAAUGUGUUAACUUCGGCACUACGGGCAUUGUUGCCCCUAACACCUAGCAUUCAUCGUUUACGGCGUGGACUAC